AUUGAACGCUGGCGGCAGGCCUAACACAUGCAAGUCGAACGGUAACAGGAAGAAGCUUGCUUCUUUGCUGACGAGUGGCGGACGGGUGAGUAAUGUCUGGGAAACUGCCUGAUGGAGGGGGAUAACUACUGGAAACGGUAGCUAAUACCGCAUAGCGUCGCAAGACCAAAGAGGGGGACCUUCGGGCCUCUUGCCAUCGGAUGUGCCCAGAUGGGAUUAGCUAGUAGGUGGGGUAACGGCUCACCUAGGCGACGAUCCCUAGCUGGCCUGAGAGGAUGACCAGCCACACUGGAACUGAGACACGGUCCAGACUCCUACGGGAGGCAGCAGUGGGGAAUAUUGCACAAUGGGCGCAAGCCUGAUGCAGCCAUGCCGCGUGUAUGAAGAAGGCCUUCGGGUUGUAAAGUACUUUCAGCGGGGAGGAAGGGAGUAAAGUUAGUACCUUUGCUCAUUGACGUUACCCGCAGAAGAAGCACCGGCUAACUCCGUG
rnacentral:rRNA from 1 species